rnacentral:rRNA from 1 species
UGGCCGGUGACAACCGGAGGGAAGGUGGGGAGUGGACGUCAAAUCAUCCAUGCCCUUAUGAUCUGGGCUACACACGUGCUACAAUGGUCGGUACAAAGGGUUGCCAAGCCGCGAGGUGGAGCUAAUCCCAUAAAACCGAUCGUAGUCCGGAUCGCAGUCUGCAACUCGACUGCGUGAAGUCGGAAUCGCUAGUAAUCGUGAAUCAGAAUGUCACGGUGAAUACGUUCCCGGGCCUU